AGAAGGUCAGAUAAAGAUACGACAAUUUGCUCAGACCCAUUUUCAGUUGGCCAAACCAUGGUACGAUCUAUGACCACGACCGUACCAAUUAUAGUGGUCUAAUAGAUAGUCUAUAGUCAUGAUAUUACUUAGCCACAGGUGACUCCUAUAGAUAGUGCGAUACCACUCUUGUCAAAGGCACGCCGUCAUCCACUGAGAGCAGUCAUCUUACAUCUUUCCAAAGCAGAUAGGGGAGGGGGAAACAAAUAUCUUGAAAGGCAAGGGGAACAGAUACCCCUCAGAGAUAAAAAGCCUAACGAGACACUUGAUGCAAUUGCAUGUCAAAACAGAUACACUUCAGACCAUACAG
rnacentral:lncRNA from 1 species